rnacentral:rRNA from 1 species
GAUCCUGGCUCAGGACGAACGCUGGCGGCGUGCCUAACACAUGCAAGUCGAACGGAGCGCUAUUGAGGAACUUUUCGGAGGGAAUCGAGAGCAGCUUAGUGGCGGACGGGUGAGUAACGCGUGAGGAACCUGCCUUUCAGAGGGGGACAACAGCUGGAAACGGCUGCUAAUACCGCAUAACGCAGCGGGAUCGCAUGAUCCUGCUGCCAAAGAAUUAUCGCUGAAAGAUGG